rnacentral:rRNA from 1 species
ACCGCCAGCUAAGGUCCCAAAGUCAUGGUUAAGUGGGAAACGAUGUGGGAAGGCCCAGACAGCCAGGAUGUUGGCUUAGAAGCAGCCAUCAUUUAAAGAAAGCGUAAUAGCUCACUGGUCGAGUCGGCCUGCGCGGAAGAUGUAACGGGGCUAAACCAUGCACCGAAGCUGCGGCAGCGACGUUUAUGCGUUGUUGGGUAGGGGAGCGUUCUGUAAGCCUGCGAAGGUGGCCUGUGAGGGUUGCUGGAGGUAUCAGAAGUGCGAAUGCUGACAUAAGUAACGAUAAAGCGGGUGAAAAGCCCGCUCGCCGGAAGACCAAGGGUUCCUGUCCAACGUUAAUCGGGGCAGGGUGAGUCGACCCCUAAGGCGAGGCCGAAAGGCGUAGUCGAUGGGAAACGGGUUAAUAUUCCCGUACUUGGUGUUACUGCGAAGGGGGGACGGAGAAGGCUAUGUUGGCCGGGCGACGGUUGUCCCGGUUUAAGCGUGUAGGUGUGUGUUCCAGGUAAAUCCGGUUCACUUUAACACUGAGGCGUGAUGACGAGGCACUACGGUGCUGAAGCAACAAAUGCCCUGCUUCCAGGAAAAGCCUCUAAGCAUCAGGUAACACGAAAUCGUACCCCAAACCGACACAGGUGGUCAGGUAGAGAAUACCAAGGCGCUUGAGAGAACUCGGGUGAAGGAACUAGGCAAAAUGGUGCCGUAACUUCGGGAGAAGGCACGCUGACACGUAGGUGAAGUGAUUUACUCAUGGAGCUGAAGUCAGUCGAAGAUACCAGCUGGCUGCAACUGUUUAUUAAAAACACAGCACUGUGCAAACACGAAAGUGGACGUAUACGGUGUGACGCCUGCCCGGUGCCGGAAGGUUAAUUGAUGGGGUCAGCGCAAGCGAAGCUCCUGAUCGAAGCCCCGGUAAACGGCGGCCGUAACUAUAACGGUCCUAAGGUAGCGAAAUUCCUUGUCGGGUAAGUUCCGACCUGCACGAAUGGCGUAAUGAUGGCCAGGCUGUCUCCACCCGAGACUCAGUGAAAUUGAACUCGCUGUGAAGAUGCAGUGUACCCGCGGCAAGACGGAAAGACCCCGUGAACCUUUACUAUAGCUUGACACUGAACAUUGAGCCUUGAUGUGUAGGAUAGGUGGGAGGCUUUGAAGUGUGGACGCCAGUCUGCAUGGAGCCGACCUUGAAAUACCACCCUUUAAUGUUUGAUGUUCUAACGUGGACCCGUUACCCGGGUUGCGGACAGUGUCUGGUGGGUAGUUUGACUGGGGCGGUCUCCUCCUAAAGAGUAACGGAGGAGCACGAAGGUUGGCUAAUCCUGGUCGGACAUCAGGAGGUUAGUGCAAUGGCAUAAGCCAGCUUGACUGCGAGCGUGACGGCGCGAGCAGGUGCGAAAGCAGGUCAUAGUGAUCCGGUGGUUCUGAAUGGAAGGGCCAUCGCUCAACGGAUAAAAGGUACUCCGGGGAUAACAGGCUGAUACCGCCCAAGAGUUCAUAUCGACGGCGGUGUUUGGCACCUCGAUGUCGGCUCAUCACAUCCUGGGGCUGAAGUAGGUCCCAAGGGUAUGGCUGUUCGCCAUUUAAAGUGGUACGCGAGCUGGGUUUAGAACGUCGUGAGACAGUUCGGUCCCUAUCUGCCGUGGGCGCUGGAGAACUGAGGGGGGCUGCUCCUAGUACGAGAGGACCGGAGUGGACGCAUCACUGGUGUUCGGGUUGUCAUGCCAAUGGCACUGCCCGGUAGCUAAAUGCGGAAGAGAUAAGUGCUGAAAGCAUCUAAGCACGAAACUUGCCCCGAGAUGAGUUCUCCCUGAGACUUAGAGUCUCCUGAAGGAACGUUGAAGACGACGACGUUGAUAGGCCGGGUGUGUAAGCGCAGCGAUGCGUUGAGCUAACCGGUACUAAUGAACCGUGAG